GCUCGGAGUAGGUGUAUUUUUCCUCUUUGUCUCCCUAAAGCAGAAGGCUUUUCUAAAUUUGUCCAGUCAUCUUCUAGACUAACCGAGGCCAUGUAGACCCACCUCUAACGUUGUCUGCUCCACAGAGCCUUUCUGAACCUGCUCAGGAAGAGGUGGGCCUUCGCUUCUAUGCCUCUGUGCACUUACUCAUUCCUCAAUGGGAGCCCUUGCUGAGCAGCAAACCUGCCCUGUGCCCCUGGGUCUGCCUUGCUCAGCCCAGCCCACAAGCUCCUGAACUUCGGUGUCUGUUCAGUGUUUGAAAACAGUUGGCCACAGAUCACUAAUUGCUGGCACUAGGGCUCGAGUGCCGACUCCUCAAACUUCUGUCUCGUCAUUCCCACCUCUACUUCAUCGUGAGUCCUCACCUCCUCCCCAGCUCUGUGGUUUGCUCCAGUUCCAAGGAGACUCCACCUGUUUUGAAACUGACAAACACCUGAGGACCUGAGUUCAUUCAGACCAGCUCCCUGGCCUAAGGCACAGACAUGUAAGAUGGACAUAAGCUGGGGAAUCAUAGCACAGGCCUCGUAGUCCACAGCAACAUCAGAAGAAGUGGGAGUGUCGGGAGAUGACUCUGCUCUUCUCUGCUCCUGUAUGGCAAGGCCCUUCUCCCACUCCCACCCCACUGGACUAAGCCAACAGGGUUAUGUCUGAAAGGAAGCAUGGAGGCCCUAAAGACGAGUAUACCAGCCCUUCUGCUGAUACUGGUAUGAGUUAUUAAUUGGAAAAAUAAAAUCAAA
rnacentral:lncRNA from 10 species